UACAGAGAGUGCAAACGUUGUUCGGAAUUACUGGGCGUAAAGGGCUUGUAGGUGGCCAACUAAGUCAGACGUGAAAUCCCUCGGCUUAACCGGGGAACUGCGUCUGAUACUGGAUGGCUCGAGUGUGGGAGAGGGAUGCGGAAUUCCAGGUGUAGCGGUGAAAUGCGUAGAUAUCUGGAGGAACACCGGUGGCGAAGGCGGCAUCCUGGACCAUAACUGACACUGAUAAGCGAAAGCCAGGGGAGCAAACGGG
rnacentral:rRNA from 1 species